rnacentral:rRNA from 1 species
UACGUAGGUGGCAAGCGUUGUCCGGAUUUACUGGGCGUAAAGAGCGCGCAGGCGGUCGUUCAAGUCGCGUGUGAAAGCCCCCGGCUCAACUGGGGAGGGUCACGCGAUACUGAUCGACUCGAAGGCAGGAGAGGGUAGUGGAAUUCCCGGUGUAGCGGUGGAAUGCGUAGAGAUCGGGAAGAACAUCAGUGGCGAAGGCGGUCUGCUGGGCCGUUGCUGACGCUGAGGCGCGACAGCGUGGGGAGCAAACAGG